UAAAGGCCUGUUGCCUUGGGGCCAGCCAUCAUUCUAGAAUGUGUUGAGAUUUGACCUUAUCCCAGCAAGCUAAAGGUCCUGAGCUGGUAACCCUCCAAGGCCUGUGCAUUUACAUCAACCCAGCAUGCUAUAAUUGGUCAGCUAGUGACCUCACAGAGGCCUUUGCACUGAAUUCAGCCUGUGGUGAUCAGAUCAGUGUGGGGAAAAGAAUGAGCUAGUGAACUCACAGAAAGUGCUUUAAGUCCCAUUUACUCUUCUGGAGUGACACAAGAGGGAUCUAAGAAGAGCUGAGGAGCUGGCCUUCUGCAGUUAUAAAAACUCAGGACCUAUUUAUCUGGAAUGACUACAACCCUUGGAAAUUAUUAAAAAUCAAUAAUAAUACUGUUUUAACAUGUAGUGGCAAAUGAGACAUACAGCUUGUCUCAGCUGGCCAUCUUCACAGAUUAAGUUUACAGAAUCCAAGCCUUUAUUUGUUUUGACCACAAUAGGAAAUUCUAUCUAUCCAAUUACUGAAGCUUGCAGAAAAUUGAAUUGAUUUAUGGACUAGCACAGGGAGGGAGAAAGAAUAUUCUGGAUGCUGAAUGCUUACAAAGGACGGAUAGCUCACUUUACCUUUAGGGCGAAUGCUUUUGAAAAAUCUCUCCGCAAUGACCACGACAUCUCUUUGCAGAGAAAAGAGAGGAGAAUUAAAAGAUGAGCCAACUGAAAUAUGCAGGUUAACAACUACAUCAUCUGUUCAGCAUCCUGUCCCUCUGAUGACUGAAACCUCACAGCUGCAUUCUGAUAUGGAAGCAGUGACAGCUGGACAUACAUAGAAAGCAAUGGAAGUUAAGGGGACAUUAUUUAUCCACAGUGGAACAACUUCAGCAGGAGAGACCAAGAGACCCCCACAGCAGAAUAUCCUAUAGGCCAGUAGCUAAGGAACUCAUCCAAGAAGUGGUAGAUCACUGUGGCAGAUCCCUUCUCCCUCCGGCAGAGGGGAGACAUGAGCUGGGGGUCUUCCACAUCCCAGGGACAUUUCCAUGAAGGUUACACUACAGAAUAACUACACACGUGUACAAUUCUCAAGCCAAACAAAAUCUAGGACUUUUCUCCCCAGGGAAGCAUUUUUUUUAAAUCAAAGCUGCUUUAAGAGCUGUAUACCUUUACACACACCGAGUAGUAUCCUACGCCAUGAGUAAUCAACACUGACAUCAACAUACUAAGAAAUUACGUACAGUGAGUAAGGGUUUCCAUAACUGACCCUUAAUUUCUAUCAUUUAAACAAAAACAACCUUCAAUUUAGUCUGCAUCUACAUCAACUCCAUCAUUUACACAAGCGUACAAAGCCAAAAAAAAAAAUUUGAAUUGUAAAUGUCACACACGUCAUCAUCAUGCGGUGACAUAGAUGAGCAUCACAUUUCCCGUCCCCUUAGUUUCAUUAUAUUACAGUCCUUAUUGAGAGAAAAUGAGUUUAGAAGAGAAUGAUCUGUCACACAAUGUAUUAGAGUUGAUGGAGUGUAGACAGACUUUUCAAUCUCCUUUAAAACACUGUGAUGCUCCACAGUGUAUUAUUAACGGAAACAAAUGAACGCAAUCUGCUUCGGCUUUUCACCAAGCCAUCCACCAAAGACACGGUGGUGUAAAUCAAGUCCAUUUCAUUUCCCCCUUCGUGCAGGAGAACUUUAAAAGGGUCAAUGUCAAGGUUGGAAGGCAAAAAGAACCCAACUCCUAUAGAAAUUGAGGUUAUACAAUAGUUAUAGAUUCUAAAGACACUGCAGUAACUUUGCUGGAGGAGGGUAUUCAGGGAAAGAAAACAUAUAAACCCAAUCUAGCUUACAAAUAAACAUGAUGCACACUACGUUAGAUUCUACA